UACAGAGGUCUCAAGCGUUUGUUCGGAUUCAUUGGGCGUAAAGGGUGUGUAGGUGGCGCCGUAAGUCGGGUGUGAAAUUUCGGAGCUUAACUCCGAAACUGCAUUCGAUACUGCGGUGCUUGAGGACUGGAGAGGAGACUGGAAUUCAUGGUGUAGCAGUGAAAUGCGUAGAGAUCAUGAGGAAGACCAGUGGCGAAGGCGGGUCUCUGGACAGUUCCUGACACUGAGACACGAAGGCCAGGGGGAGCAAACGGG
rnacentral:rRNA from 1 species